GUCCCUAUAGCUCAAUUGGAUAGAGCGCAACCCUGCGGAGGUUGAGGUUCCCCGUUCAAAUCGGGGUAGGGACGCCA
rnacentral:tRNA from 1 species